AUUGAACGCUGGCGGCAUGCCUUACACAUGCAAGUCGAACGGUAACGCGGGGCAACCUGGCGACGAGUGGCGAACGGGUGAGUAAUGCAUCGGAACGUGCCCAGUAGUGGGGGAUAGCCCGGCGAAAGCCGGAUUAAUACCGCAUACGACCUACGGGUGAAAGGGGGGGAUCGCAAGACCUCUCGCUAUUGGAGCGGCCGAUGUCAGAUUAGGUAGUUGGUGGGGUAAAGGCCUACCAAGCCUACGAUCUGAAGCUGGUCUGAGAGGACGACCAGCCACCCUGGGACUGAGACACGGCCCAGACUCCUACGGGAGGCAGCAGUGGGGAAUUUUGGACAAUGGGCGCAAGCCUGAUCCAGCCAUGCCGCGUGCGGGAAGAAGGCCUUCGGGUUGUAAACCGCUUUUGUCAGGGAAGAAACGCUCUGGGCUAAUACCCUAGGGUAAUGACGGUACCGUAAGAAUAAGCACCGGCUAACUACGUGCCAGCCGCCGCGGUAACAC
rnacentral:rRNA from 1 species